rnacentral:snoRNA from 1 species
AACUCAGGAUGUGGGCAUUUGUUCAGAAACACUUUGAAAUGCUCCCAUGUCUCAUAAAAAGACACCCUUUCCUUAUAUUAAUAAGACUGGAUCAUGCUCCUCAGAU